GCCUCUUUGGCGCAGUGGUAACGCGUAGCACUUGUACGAAACAAAAAAUGCUAAGAUCACAGGUUCGAUUCCUGUAGGAGGCA
rnacentral:tRNA from 1 species